GUCUAAGGCCAUACCACCCUGAACAUGCACGAUCUCAUUUUAUCUCGGAAUCUAAGUAGGGUUGGGCUUGGUUAGUACCUGGAUGGGAGAAGGAGAGAGAAAGAGGGAUACCUGGAGCCAUGCUUC
rnacentral:rRNA from 1 species